rnacentral:rRNA from 1 species
AUUGAACGCUGGCGGCAGGCCUAACACAUGCAAGUCGAGCGGAUGAAGGGAGCUUGCUCCUGGAUUCAGCGGCGGACGGGUGAGUAAUGCCUAGGAAUCUGCCUGGUAGUGGGGGAUAACGUCCGGAAACGGGCGCUAAUACCGCAUACGUCCUGAGGGAGAAAGUGGGGGAUCUUCGGACCUCACGCUAUCAGAUGAGCCUAGGUCGGAUUAGCUAGUUGGUGGGGUAAAGGCCUACCAAGGCGACGAUCCGUAACUGGUCUGAGAGGAUGAUCAGUCACACUGGAGCUGAGACACGGUCCAGACUCCUACGGGAGGCAGCAGUGGGGAAUAUUGGACAAUGGGCGAAAGCCUGAUCCAGCCAUGCCGCGUGUGUGGAGAAGGUCUUCGGAUUGUAAAGCACUUUAAGUUGGGAGGAAGGGCAGUAAGUUAAUACCUUGCUGUUUUGACGUUACCAACAGAAUAAGCACCGGCUAACUUCGUG